rnacentral:lncRNA from 1 species
GAGGGAAGGGCAGGGAACGGUCCGUCGGUCAAGCGCUGCCGGGGUCCUCUCCGCCCAGCGUUUCAUAAACCUUCCCCCCCCACACACACACACCGACUUACCAGCUGGAGGGAGGAGGGGGCCGACCAGGGGUCCCGGCAGGCCUGGGCGCGGAAGGCUGGCAGUCCCUUCGCACCCGCCGCCACCACUUCCGGAUCGAAGGUUUCGAUUGAAGCAGCCUCUAUUUGCAUAUUCCCUGAUCAGCUCCAGAAUCUCCCCGACAGCAGGCGGGGGUGGGGGGGGCGAGCAUUUCUCCCGGCCAGGCUGGGCUGGGCUGGCAGGAGGGCCAAGGAGCCGGCCAGGAAAGGAGUUUGCCCGGUUCCUCUGGCAGCCUGGCGGGCAGCGGAGUUGGCUUGGGCGGGGCGAGUGCCGGAACGGGAGCCGGGUGCCUUCCCGAGAAAAAAGCCAGCUCUCUCCGAGCCGCAGGAGCAGUCACCCGGCCGCGCCGCGCCGCGCCCAGCCGCUCCCGCAGCCCCGAGCUUGAGGGGGCUCCUUGGGGUGCCCCUUCGGACUGGAAUCCCCUGCUCCCGACAGGACUGGGACCUCUUCUCACGUGCAGCGUGUGCUGACCAGGCCUUCCGAGGGCGACGGGACUGCCAGCUGCCAGAUGUGCGCCGGUGCCGCAGGCGAAAGGGCCCGGUUUCACAGUAUUGAUUCGCUCUCUUCUUCAUCUCUGCCAAGGAAGACACGGAAUAAUUUUCGCAUUACAGUCACUUGGAUUUGCUUUUAAUUCAUAUUUAAAGCUGCAACCGACUCUGCGGAGCUUUCUGCGAAAAGACUGGAGGCGCCUAAUUAAUAAUAAGUUAGAAACGAAGGAAGGCACCAGCUGAUUAAUAAUUAAUAUAGACAUCUAUGUCUCUUUGAAUAUUGCUCCUUUAAGAACGUCGGCUUACCAACUCCUACUGUAAGUCUGCAAUUUAUAGGGAGGUGAUUUAAGAUACCGAUUUUCCCCUGAAAUACGACGCUAAAUUAUUCACCGUGUUUUGCAAUCUUCCAUAAGUUCCUUCAUUAUCAAAUGCUGCUCUUGGCUCAUUGCGGGGCACAGCAGCGGUAACAUGGGGGGGUGAGGGGAUGGGGGUUGUGGGAGGAAUGGGUAGAGCCAGCAUAGCUUGCGGCGGAGCAUCCACCGAGAAGGGGGGCGGGGCUGAGAUGAAGCCCGGGCAGCCGACCUGGAGUGCACCAAAUAUUUAGUAGAACCUGUUUCUGGCCAUCUCCCAGCCCACAGUCGGAAGGAAAGGGGCCGCUGUGAGCUCACCUGGAAUCCUGGACUACUUAUCAGGAGGCUGAUCCGUCACUCUCACCUCGACAUUCAUCCCCAAUAAAGAACAGAGCGAAGAUCUGCA